GCAGACUCCUACGGGAGGCAGCAGUAGGGAAUUUUGCGCAAUGGGGGAAACCCUGACGCAGCAACGCCGCGUGAUUGAUGAAGCCCUUCGGGGUGUAAAGAUCUGUCAGUGGGGACGAAACUUGACGGUACCCACAGAGGAAGCAUCGGCUAACUCCGUGCCAGCAGCCGCGGUAAUACGUAGGGGGCAAGCGUUAUCCGGAAUUAUUGGGCGUAAAGAGUACGUAGGUGGCAACCUAAGCGCAGGGUUUAAGGCAAUGGCUCAACCAUUGUUCGCCCUGCGAACUGGGAUGCUUGAGUGCAGGAGAGGAAAGCGGAAUUCCUAGUGUAGCGGUGAAAUGCGUAGAUAUUAGGAGGAACACCAGUGGCGAAGGCGGCUUACUGGACUGUAACUGACGUUGAGGCUCGAAAGCGUGGGGAGCAAACAGGAUUAGAUACCCGGGUACA
rnacentral:rRNA from 1 species